UACGUAGGGGGCUAGCGUUGUCCGGAAUCAUUGGGCGUAAAGAGCGCGUAGGCGGCCCGGUAAGUCCGCUGUGAAAGCCGGGGGCUCAACCCUCGAAAGCCGGUGGAUACUGUCGGGCUAGAGUGCGGAAGAGGCGAGUGGAAUUCCUGGUGUAGCGGUGAAAUGCGCAGAUAUCGGGAAGAACACCUAUGGCGAAGGCAGCUCUCUGGGACGGUACUGACGCUGAGACGCGAAAGCGUGGGGAGCGAACAGG
rnacentral:rRNA from 1 species